UGGGGAUUUUAAACUUAGGCUGCUAACUUGAGUUGGGGAAAUAAAUAUUUUCCAUCUUCAU
rnacentral:tRNA from 1 species